rnacentral:tRNA from 1 species
CCUCGCUGGGUUGGUAUGGGGGGAGCCUUCAUGGACUUGAGGUCCAUGAAGGCUCCCCCCAUGGUUCACUCGACGGGUCAGGC